UUUCUUUCUUUCUUUCCUUUUUCCUCCAAAAAGAAAUAAAAGAGGAAGAAUAAAUAGCAAGCUCAAACUGGGCUUGUUUGCUCUAGAAAGCUAAAUGUUUGAGUAACACAUGUGAACCUUCAAAAGCAAGUGAGGGAGGGCAGAUAAACUUUUAGGAAAGUCCAAUUUUUCGGGAUCAAAACUUCCCAUAUCAUUAGUUCAUUACCAUAAUAAUAGGGCAUCAUUUAACUAUGGAGGAAACUACAGGAAUGUAGGAACUAAAGAAUAUAUUACCUUAUAAC
rnacentral:misc_RNA from 1 species